GGAGAGAGAGAGAGAGAGAGAGAGAGAGAGAGAGAGAGAAGGAAAGAGAGAGAAAACCACCAUCCCCCGAAUGACGCGAGAGGGAGUUAGAGUUCCUAGCUCGUCCCCCACGGUUGCAGUGCGUUCCCAACACCCGUGAGACAACCUCGAACUGUCCCAACGUAAGCAACGAAACACACGCACGUACGUUCGGAUCGACGCUCACGUUCGCGCACGACAAGAGUCACGAGGAGACUCAGUUUUUUCGCGUUUUCGUUUACUCUUCCUUGGUCUCUCUCUCUCUCUCUCUCUCUCUCUCUUUUUCUCUCAUUCCCCCUUUCUCUCUUUCUCUCUCUCUCUCUCUCUCUCUCUCUCUUUUGUACUGGCUAAUCGAGCUAUACCUCGAGCUCCCUCUCAAACUUUGAGGGAGGAAAACAUUCGACUAGAAUUUGAAUACGUGACAUUUAACGCUCGAAAGAGAGAUUUUUCCGCUAUAUUUUAUCUUUCUCUUUCCUCGUAUCUGUUUCUAUUUCUAUCUGUUUUUUCUUCUUUUAUCUUUCAUUCGCCUUUACUCCCUUUAUCUUUUCUACCAGUCGAACUCCUGCGUUUUCCUCAGUGUCACAGCGACUCGUCGUGUCGUACAGAACAUAUAGUCAGUGUACUUUCUGUAUCAAAAGUAUAUCGAAAAUUUUUCGGAAGAAAGCUGAUCGGACUGAAGGGUACGAGAGUUCUACAAGGUGAGAUCAGUUUAGAGUGCGCGUGUAUUGCAGUAUUUAAGCAGUAUCUGAGUAAGUUUGCCAGCAUAGAAAAGUGACUUUUUUUUGAAAGACAAGAAAGCGAGUUGAGAUGGAGUGAGAGAAAGAAAAAGAGAAAGAGAAAGAGAGAGAAAGAGAGAGAAAGAGAGAGAGAGAGAGAGAGAGAGAGAAAGAGAGAGAUUGAAGAAAGAAGACGUAGCUGUAACUUGUGAAUCCUGAGUCAGUUUUUUCGGUGGAAAGUUCCUAGAGGUCGAGUCGGUGAUCAACGAAAAGAAGAAAAGCAUAAGGAGCGGUUGUUUAAUCGCGCGAAAGGGAUGCUACGUCAUGAGAAAGACGAGCGACACAAUCGUAUUCGAUGGAAGAAGAGAUAGCACAGAAGAAUAUCGUCGUGAUCGAAAAGGUGGAUCCUGGUGAUUAUCGUUCUACGCAGGAUUGACGACCUUGAGUGAUCUCGUGCUGGUGGUAAAAACCAAGGAACAAGAUAAACUCUACGAGGUCGUGAAUAUUUUUUUAGAUUCUUUCGAGUCUUUUCCGUGAUCUUAUAGAUAUAUACAUACACAUACAUAUAGCACGGAGAAGAAAAAGUGAGUAGGAGAGAAAAAGGGACGUUGCUCGUUACGAGGUAAUGACUUUGUAAUCGUGUAAAUAGGUGUACAUAGAAAGGAGCGACAGGACCGAUUGGUUCGGUUUAUUCAUUAUAAGGGAGUUACGCUGAAAACGAUAGUACUUUGUAGCGUGAGCGCGCGUGCAAGAGAGAGAGGAAGAGAGAGAAAGAGACAGAGAUACAGUCUCACUCUUCUCGUCCUCCUUCCCAUAUCACUUCUUUUUCCUUCUUGUCCAUCUCUUCUUAUCUAUCCCGUAUUUCUGUCGUUUUAUCUUAUACAACUAAUCGUUAGAUAAUAUAUAACACGCUCGAUUAGUAUUUCAUGUGUGCGUCCGUAUAUAGGUGACUACAAUUACUGCGUACAUGUAUACGCAUAUGUAUAUAUAUAUAUAUAUUACGAAUUUCUGCCGCCCGUCGAACGUAUCGUUCGAGGAUCGAUCGAAUCGCGGGUAUUUAGCGUGAAAGUUAUUCGAAUUUCGCGUUGAGAUUCGUGUGUGUCGUCGCGCGCGCGCGACCGGUAAAUAAUCCUUCUCGCGGUCUAUAAUCCUAUCCGCACACUGUUUCCGUUAUUCAACUUCUUGUUGAUCUUCCUUUUACUUUUUAUACAUAUAUAUAUAUGUAUGUAUGUAUGUAUACACGUAUAUAGAGAGAUACACAUAUAUAUAUAUACACACACACACAUAUAUAUCGAAGCGUUUAUCUUCCAAUAUGAUUCGAAAAGCAGGUCGGAGCAGUACGGGUAUCCAGCUUAGGCUUUAGUCCCUGUGCGAUAAUUAAUUAUUAGCUCGCGGACAUCGUUAGUGCGAAUCAACGUACGGGUUAUUUCAAACGUCGGGACCUUUAAACACGAGGAGCCAAAGUUGCGAGAGAGAUAGAGGAACGCAGUUUCGAUAAACGAUCGGGCUUUCUCGAAUCAACGAAGUCUUUUCUCUCUCUCUCUCUCUCUCUCUCUCUCUCUCUCUUUCUCUCUCUCUCUUUCUCUCUCUCUCUCUCUCUCUCUCUCUCUCUGUAAUACUGUAAUUCAGUACAUUUCGUGUCUAAUAUUCAUGCAGGAGAUUAAUUUAAAGGAAAGGUUAGAAAGGGGGACCAAUUUUUCACGCGCAUUUUAAUCCUCUCUUUCUUCUUUCUAUUUCUACUAUGCGUCUACAUGUUCGCAAAGUUUAAUCUUUACCUUCUCGAUCCAUUUAUCCAUCCAUCCUACCUGCCGAAUGUUCAUAGAUCUCUUCGUCUCUCUCGUUCUGCUUCUUACUCUUUAUCUCUCUUUUCCUUUCUCUCUCUCUCUCUCUCUCUCUCUUUUUCUAUAUGGAUAGAUUUUUUUCGUUCGUUCGUAUUAACACUGUCGUCGUGAGCCAGUGAAUUCUGCAGUCGCGAAAAAAAAGCGAUUCACGAAAAGCAAUAACUCAAGGGCCAACCUACGAUUAAGACAACGACAACGAUGACGUAAAGAAACGAAGGGACACAGAAAGAACAAAAAGAGAAAAAAAAAGGAGAAAAGGCAGAGAAACGAGGACACCUCGACACCUUCAUUGAAGAACGGUUCGCGUCACCGAGCGUCACUUACCGCCCCAGAUAUUAGCUUCAGAAUGAAGAAUCUCAUAAUUCUUAUGUAGACGAUGGUUCAGCGUUUUAUUAAAUAAAAAAUUUAUUAUCUAUAAAAACACAAUUUUACGUGUUAGGUAAUAAGUCUGCACUAGAGGUGAGAGACGACGGGUCUCUCGACGAAUAAAGGAGGAAUUUAAAAGGGAAAAGAGAGAAGGGGAGAGGGAGAGAACGAGGGAUUGGUUCGAUCUUCGAUAAGGAUGACAUAAUGCCGAAACGGGCAUGACGGCGCUGGCCUCGAGAUGCGACGAGACCACCACUCUCUUGCUAUUGUUAUUACUCGAACUGGCACCUGGUGUAAGGUGUUAUCCGCGCUCUUCGAUCGGCGCGACAUCAGAGGCGUCCUCCAACGACGGUGGUACGUCGUCCUCCGACGUGAGUUCCUCAGCCGCGACGAGAUAGCAUCCGCAGAGCACGGCGAGGGUGCGAGUGAUGAUCCCGCCGCUCCUCGGCAACAUUAUGUCUAUCGACGACGCCGGUAGCUCGGCAACGGCGUCCACGAGCGUCUUCGAGGAGAACAUGACGUGGUCUCGUUCGACGAUUACCGGCUCAACUACGUCUUCUUCUACGAUCAGUGAGGCCACCUCGAGAGGCUACGAGGAAACCAGAGAAGAACGAGGGAAGACAGAAACGAUUACUCGCCUUGCCGAUUUUGCUGUCGGUUGGACCGACUGGAACGGCACCGAGCGAAUAGAAGAAAGUAGAAGAGAAGAACAAAAGAACAAGUCGGUGGAAACUUCCAACGAUCCGACCAAGGAGAUCGGUGAACAGCCGAGAGGAGGAGAUCCCCUUGGUUGUGCCUGCGAAAGAGAAGAUUCUCUGAUUUCCAGGGUCUCCGAUAGGAGCACUUUUGAGAUCUUCACUGGAGGCUCGAGUCUUGGCGUCGAUCUUCUCUUUGACGUAACCUCCGACACGAUGGAAGACCUCGCCAUCUCUUCCUCCAACGACUCCAUCUUCAACGAGAGUUUACCAUAUACCUCGAACAAGAGCUACGACAAUGAGACCUUGUUCGUUUUCGGUGAUAGCAUGUAUCCAUCGGGAUAUACUCUACCGCAUAUCAUUGUGGCCUCGAUCGUGGCUACCCUUUUGAUGAUAGUCAUCGUCGUUGGUAACAUGCUCGUGAUAAUUGCGAUUGUAACGGAGAAAGCACUGAAGAAUAUUCAGAACUGGUUCAUCGCCAGUCUCGCUGUCGCAGACUUCUUUCUGGGUCUCAUCAUAAUGCCAUUCUCAUUAGCGAACGAGAUUAUGGGUUAUUGGAUCUUUGGCUAUUGGUGGUGCGAUAUAUACUCCGCGAUGGACGUGUUACUCUGCACGGCCAGCAUCAUGAAUCUCUGUCUCAUAAGUCUUGAUAGGUUCUGGAGCAUUACUCAGGCAGUGGAUUACUUGAAGAAAAGAACACCGGCCAGGGCGAUACUUAUGAUCGCCCUCGUCUGGCUAUUAUCCGCCCUCAUUUGUAUACCGCCGUUGCUCGGCUGGAAGAGGCCAACGCCGGAAGAGGAUUAUCCCAAAUGCAAGCUCUCAGAGGACAUCGGUUACGUUCUAUAUUCAGCUCUCGGGAGUUUCUACAUCCCUUCCUGCAUCAUGGUCUUCGUGUAUAUACGCAUCUACUUCGCGGCGAAAGCUCGAGCGCGCCGUGGAAUUCGGAAACAUCCACGGCCGCGACCGAUCUCGGUGCCACCGGAAUCGCCGGAUAUCAGACAAACGAGUUUCACGCAGAGCACUCCGGCGACCGAAAUGAGGAGGUCGACGGCGAGUGCCGGAGGUAGUGCCGGGACGCUUCUGGAAAACGUCGCAACGAUCGAAAAUCAGCCGGUCCAAAUACCGAUCGUUACCUGCGACUUCGCCAGUGACGUCAGCACGUCCGAGGCCGACCCUGCCGGUAGUAAUAAUAUACCUAUGGAGGAGAAAGACACCUUAAAGGUAACGAUACCCGUACCGGUUCAAAAGAGUAACCUAAAGGCGAGUUUGUCGGUAAACGGCGACGGUCAAUCGAGUCAGAGCGUACCGAUACGAUGCAGGGCACCCAGUGUUGGCAUCGACGUAGACAUGGUGUCGGAGUUUGAUCCUUCCUCAUCGGACAGUGGCGUCGUCUCGAGGUGUGCCGUGGUGAAGCCAUUAAAGCUGCGUCUUUGUCAACCGAUCUUUGGUCGGAAGACAACCGGUAAGUUGAAGAGAGAGCAAGCAGAAACUUCUCGACAUCAAGGAAAAGAAGAAAUCGUGAUCGAGCCGAAAUCGUCGAAACCGCGCGAUCCAGAGCGAGAGAAGAGACGAUUAGCCAGAAAGAAGGAGAAACGAGCUACCCUCAUCCUUGGAUUCAUCAUGGGUAGCUUCAUCGCCUGCUGGCUACCUUUUUUCCUUCUUUAUAUCGUGAAACCCUUAUUCCCGGAUCUCGAUAUACCUACCCAGGCAUUUGUCAUUGCCUUUUGGCUCGGUUAUAUGAAUUCCGCUUUGAAUCCUUUCAUCUAUACGGUCUUCAACAAGGAUUUCCGUCGGGCGUUCCGUCGUAUACUUUUCAAAUGAAAGAUAGCUUCUCUCCGUGAGGAUAACAAAUAGCAAAAUGUUCAAAUUCGAGCUAAUUUCUUCUCCCAAAAAAGAUCGAGAUGCCGACCUGACUCGGUUUCAAGAUCGAGGAGGAUCAAGAAAAGUUCUUGAGAAUGAAGCGUAAAACCUUCGGAGAGAAAUGAAAGGAAUUACUUUAUUACAUUCACUUGAACGAUGAAAUCUCAAGGAUACGUUCGCAAAUAACAACCGAUGAUGAAUUUCAUAGCGAUGGAAUUUAUUGAAUCGUCUCGAUAGUGAGUACUUUCCCGAAACCUUACACGUACACGAAGUAUCUUCCAAGACAAUUAACAAAGGAUUCAAAAGCUCAUCGUCCUCGAUCCAGGAACAAUGCCGGCGUGAAUGAUGAACGAGGCUAAUGCACUAGUUCAGCGAAAUCAAGUGAAGCCAAAGAGCAAGGAGGGUGAAGGGUAACUGUCAAAUCACUUACAAUUUCAGAGGAACGAACUAUCAGCUACGAAUUCCCUCUCGUCUCAUCUUCGAUAAAUUCGAGAUCAUGUGAACUACGACUAUGUACGUUUCGUUAGUAUUAGAAGGUAUGUCUGGAUGGAACAAUAGAAUAUCUUCUCUGCAACAAAUCGAAAAGGACCAAUAGGAAUGAAAAUGAAAUCGAAUCUGAAGGCGUUGCUGGAUUAACGAGAGCCGGAUUACGUGGUAUUCCUCUUAGAUCUCGUACUUAAAUCUUGAAGGAAAGGUUCAACGUAAAGCACAGACUCGUUUCUACUCAAGCAAGAGUGAAGGUGGUGUUGGUAGUCAUAGUGUCAAGCAAACACAGGAGAAAAAGCGGAAAUACGGCUCUACCAAGAAGCGAUUCGCAUUUGUUGUAAAACGCUCUGAAACAAAACUUGAAUGCAGGUUUAGUCUUGUUCGGCGGUCUCACAAAGCCGUAUGCGUCCAAACUAAAUUGAAUUGCAUUGAGACUUGGAAGUAUGAGUCACAAGCGUGCAUGCUACUAAAGGAAAAGAGAGAAAAAGAAAGAAGGAAUGUAUAUGUGGGGUAACGGUAAAGUUCUACAACAGAACUGAAGUCUAAAUAAUAGAAUCCGGCGCGUAAAGGAACAAGUGUCUUCCUUGUUGGAAAAUAUACGUCACUAUUCUCAUGCAUUAAAAGUUUAUGAUUUAAUCGUAUAUGCAAGUAUAAUCUACAAAAUGUAAAAGACAAUGUUCUCAGCAUUCUACUUGUGAAAUGAAAUUAUUCGCGAGAUGUUACAAAAGAGAAAGAGAGUAUGAUCCUAACCUCAAAUAACAAUUGCAGAACGCUAAAUCCGUUUCAGUGAAAAAUAAUCUACGUUUUUCUUUUUAAUAAGAAGAUAAUAGAGACAGGGAGAGAGAGAGAGAGGUCUUCGGAGUUCUUUAAAAAUUAUGAUUCUUGCGAAAAAUCAACAUCGAGUUAAGUAGCUAACGCGUAAAAUGUGGAUUGAGUUGGUUCAACAAGUUGCAUACAGCGCAUACUCCCUGGGUAGAGUGUUUAGAUAGAACACAGCGAUCUGUCUAUAUCAAUUUUCACUUUACGUUAUGUCAUGCAACACCGAUGAGAGAGGGCUGUACGUACUUCUUUGGACAUCGACAUCAACAAUAGGGAGACGAGUGCCACGUGUUGCACGUCUUGUUCUCCACUCAUCUAACGAGCUAUGAGAGCCUUGUAAUAUCUCUUUCUAGCUUUUGCAUACAUAUAUAUGUACAUAAGAAAAAUAUUUUAAGUUAAGUAGAUAUUCACUCUUUAUUAUGUUUUGAAAUUUCCUAUAUAUCUAAUAAGUAUUUCGAAUAACAAUCUAGAAGAAAGAAAAUAGAAAAAGAACAUCGAGAAAUCUCUUUUUUCUUUCCAGGGAAUUCAUAAAAGGUAGCAGCAUUUUCUUCUUAGUCUCUACUCGGCCGAGACUCGAACACUCGAAAACGUUAUUUGCCUAUCGGCCGUGCCGUUCCUAUCGAACACUUUUCACGCGGUCCAUUCGCUACAGAACCCCUUCGGGACUCGUCUAACCGACAAGAACCACAAUGGUUACAGUUUCGCUCGUAUAGUAUCUACAGGAUCCGAAAAUAGAGAGAGAGGAUUGCUUCGUUCGAAACGAUCGAUCCUCCAAGAGAGGGAAAACGAAAAAGAGAGAUAGUGUCGGCAAGGUAACACGAUUCAGAAUGCUCCCUCUUUUUCACCUAUCUUCCUGCAACCUUUAUAUAUUUAUCAGGAAUAAAACGUUCAUGCAAGUAAUUUCUUUGACAUCCUAAGCGAAUUAGUGCGAAUUGGAAUGACGGACGAAAUAGAAAAUCAAAAGCAAAAUUAUACUCGAACAAAAGUUAUUUGAAUUCGUAGAGAAUUUCGUAUAUCUGGUAACAAACAAGCAAUACGUAAAAUAUGUGAAUACGUAAUAGGAAAUUGGACAAGAAUGAGUGGUUAAAACGUUCUUACUCGGUACAAGAAUAUUGUUCUUAAUAUCUGUUACUGACUACCGUCGACCAACAGAGCCCGUCCGAUUCAUUCAGAAUACAUGAAAUUGAAUAAUCCCUCUUUAUUCCAGGAUUCAUUAUUCCCAAUGCUUGCUCUCUUACACAUCCAUUUUCACGUUUGCCUUUAGAACUCUAGCUGGCUAAAAGAUUAGCGAAAUGAUUCGUGGAAAAGACAUGAAAAUCUUCAAGUUUCGACAGGGAUAUUUUCGAGAAAAGUAACUUUCGCUUCCAUCUCUCACUUUUUUGUUAUUUUUCUUCGUUUCUCGCUCGAUUUUUCUCUUUCUUUCUGAACGAAAUAAAUUUUAUUUAAUAUCUGUGCAAUUAAUUACAAAUUAAUUUUAUACGUGAAUAAUUUAAAUGACAAAAGUUUAACGAGUAUAAGAUAUAAAACCAACGUAGAUUUGAUUGAACAAAACACAAAACGAGAAGCAAGAAAAAAUAAACGUCCGGCAGAAGAAGACAAAUGAUAAAAGGACUAGAGAACGAAUGCUUUGAGUAAUGUGCCACAGCGGCAGAUUUUCUACGUUCUCCCUUCGUGUACGAUGCGAUAUAUCGGGAACAUAAAGCACGUGCGAUAUAUCACUUCCGCGCCGAUAGGAACAACCUAGACGCAUAGAACAGUACAAAGUUUUAGAACGUUAGGAAACAUCAAUCACCUCGAGAGAAACAAGGCGGACGCCCAAUGCUUUUGAGAAAAGUCCUCGAGUUUGCUCCUGUUGAUGACGAUGCGUUUCAUAGAUGAAUGAGUGCUACAAAUGAUACGAUUCAAUGUAUGUUAUUUCGUCGGACAUCGAAAUCGUUGAUUAUACUACUUUUACCUUCAAAACUUUUGUUGUACUCAAUAGAUUAGAAUUGUUUUGUUCCAUAUAUAUAUAUAUAAUAUUAUUAAUUCGUUUAUAAAGUAAACUCUGGAUAACAAUUUGAGAUCAUCUCCGAACUACCAGCUCCUAUCACUUAUACGUCGAUCCCUUUUCAGCUAUAAUCGUACCACGCCUGGACAGAUAGGAGUAGGAAAGACAAGGGGGAGAGAGAGAGAGAGAGAGAGAGAGAGAGAGAGAGAGAAAGACGCAGUCACGUAGCCGGCAGGUAUAUUAUAGCUACCUUCGGGCGGUUCGGUGCGUGCUCGAAUUAAUUGCUUGGAUCUCGAUUAGCGUUCGGUUGGCUCGCCCAGAUUAGCUGUACAUGACUCACGAACCUUGAUGUUUAGCCAACGCGCCGAUAUCUACGAGUAAAUGAUUCCUCCUCACGACACUCUUCCUUCCUUUUUCCCUAUUUUCUUCUUUUACGAUACGGUCGUAAUAUUUCGAACAAUCGAUGAUAUUUUCCAAUCAGAAAAGACAAAAUAAACAAAAGUUAUCAUAACAACUGAGUAAUACGAUUCAAAGCAUAACUCUGUUGUCGAAAUAUAAUCAUAUGAAGUUUCGUAAAGGAACAAUCGUAUUUAUAUUAUACACGGAAAAAAAUGAAGAAAAUAUAAAGUAUUGUAUUGCGCGCCUGUAUUAUUUCAUCAUUGCUCCGAAUUUAUUAUCCACCGAGACUGAUAAAGAAAGAAAAAUAAAAAGAAAAGGAAAAUUCUCAACAGUCGCACAACCAACAUCUUGGAAACAACAUGGAAUUACCCUAGGUAAAGGUGAAAGUGGAGUUUACGAGCCGAAAAAGUAGCGGGGAUGGAUCACAUAUAUAAAAAUAAACAAACACGGUUAUAUCUCCUUGUGACAUCGUCUAACGUGCCUCAGUCGCGAAUGAUCCAAUACAUUUUUCAUGAAAUAUUCACUUCGAGAUAGUAGCCAAUCUCUCGUUGGUGAAAUUUAUCUCGAGAAUCUAUUCGCGUGAAACGAAAUACCACAUUCCUUAAAAGAUUAUCGCGUAAAACUUCGAGAAGCUUUCUUUCCUUUUUCUCUUUUUUUCUCUUUCGUUCUAUCCAGUUACUUGCUUUUAAUGUCCUACUGGAAUAAAAAGUAUUAUAGUAGAUCGUAACAACCAAAUAACGAUCUCGCCGUUAUCUCCGAUCAUUCUGCAAAGUUACUGCCAGAUUAUGUUUGAGUUCAUAGACAUAGUAUUUCCGAUAUGACUCAUAAUACUCGCUAAAUGUUCACCUUCGUUACUAGUCCGAGAAAUUAAAGAGAAGAAGAACAGUUGAUUGUAAGAUAACGCGGAAAUUUUACCACCAAAAAGUUAUCUAUGUACGAGGUAACAUUUACAGUUCUUGAUAAUUCAAUGCUGUAAUUUUUUCUCGCAUUUGUCAAUGGUUCAUAAGAUAACGUUAAGCAUGUAUUUAUUACGGCAAGUUUUAAUCGAGCUUAUCGUUCAUAUAACAAAAAGCAAGAGUCGUCAAUAAAUUUUUAUUUUCGAUAUCGUAUUAUUCAAUUUCAAUUUUUGUUUUUUUUUUGGUUUCGAGUUUUAGGUCGAAGAUCAAUGCCUAAAUGAUGUUUAUCUAUUCAAACAAUUUAUAUAUUUAUACGAAUAUUUUCUCAAUAAAAUAGUUCAAAAUUAAAAGAUAGCUCAUAUUUACUUUUAUCCGAGCGAACAAUAAAAUGUUCAAGUUAAAAUUCAAUGCCAUUCUUUCGCGAAACAGUAACCCCAAUAUCAUGUUCGAUGGAUAAAAUAAUUCAAUAAAUGAAACAACCCAGUG